rnacentral:rRNA from 1 species
UAUGUUUAAAGAAUGUCAUCAAUAGGAACUUGUUUCCUAUAUAAUUAUACAACUUUCCAGCAACGGAUCUCUUGGCUCUCGCAUCGAUGAAGAACGCAGCGAAAUGCGAUAAGUAAUGUGAAUUGCAGAAUUCAGUGAAUCAUCGAAUCUUUGAACGCACCUUGCGCUCCUUGGUAUUCCGAGGAGCAUGCCUGUUUGAGUGUCAUUAAAUUCUCAACCUUCCAGCUUUUUAUAAGCUUGGUUAGGCUUGGAUGUGGGGGUUGUGGGCUUCAUUAAUGAGGUCAGCUCUCCUUAAAUGCAUUAGCGGAACUUUUGUGGACCGUCUAUUGGUGUGAUAAUUAUCUACGCCGUGGAUGUGAAGCAGAUUUAUGAAGUUCCAGCUUCUAACCGUCCAUUGACUUGGACAUUUUUGACAAUUUGACCUCAAAUCAGGUAGGACUACCCGCUGAACUUAAGCAUAUCAAUAAGCGGAGGAAAAGAAACUAACAAGGAUUCCCCUAGUAACUGCGAGUGAAGCGGGAAAAGCUCAAAUUUAAAAUCUGGC